rnacentral:rRNA from 1 species
GUACACGCUGUGACUAGCAUAUCAAUAAGCGGAGGAAAAGAAACUAACAAGGAUUCCCCUAGUAACGGCGAGUGAAGCGGGAAGAGCUCAAAUUUGGAAUCUUAAAGGGUUUCCCUUUACGAAUUGUAGUUUAAAGAAGUGUUUUCUGUUGAGGUUUUGGUAAAAGUUCUUUGGAAUAGGACAUCAUAGAGGGUGAGAAUCCCGUAUUUGACCUUUACUUUCAACUUUGUGAUACACUUUCAAAGAGUCGGAUUGUUUGGGAAUGCAGUCCAAAAUGGGUGGUAAAUUUCAUCUAAAGCUAAAUAUUGGCGAGAGACCGAUAGCGAACAAGUACCGUGAGGGAAAGAUGAAAAGAACUUUGAAAAGAGAGUUAAACAGUACGUGAAAUUGUCAAAAGGGAAGCGUUUGACACCAGUGUUGUUUUUCUGAAAAUCAAUUAAAGAACUGUUUAUGCUAAGCUGUUUAGACUUUAUCAGCUAUCUGUUUAGUUUUGAGCUUUUCUUUAAUGCACUUUUCAGUUAACAAGUCAACAUCAAUUUCUUUUGCUGUAAAAAAGCUUGAGGAAGGUGGCUUGAGAUUCGUCUUAAGUGUUUAUAGCCUCUUGCCUAUGCAGUCGGAGAGAUUGAGGUCUGCAGCGUAGAUCCUUCGGGGCUAAAUGCAUUUGUGCUAAGUUAUAGCAUUUUCAUAGACAACUUGUUGACUAUGAUUUGUCUUGUAGCUUACUCGCUUAUGUUAUUUUACCUACGCUUAGGAUGUUGACGAGACUGUCGAUCUC